rnacentral:miRNA from 1 species
AGCAUACAGUUGGGCAGGCUGAGGUCCAGCGGUGGUAAAAAGCUUCAGAAGAGAAGGUUCUUCUCUGGAGUGUUACAGCUCAGUAAGACAGGCAUUCUCAAAUGAUCUUUGGUGA